AGCAGCCGCGGUAAUUCCAGCUCCAAUAGCGUAUAUUAAAGUUGUUGCAGUUAAAAAGCUCGUAGUUGAAUUUCGGGGUUAGUAGGUUGGUCAUGCCUCUGGUAUGUACUGGUCUCACUGAUUCCUCCUUCCUGAUGAGCCGUAAUGCCAUUAAUUUGGUGUUGUGGGGAAUUUGGACUGUUACUUUGAAAAAAUUAGAGUGUUUAAAGCAAGCUAACGCUUGAAUACAUUAGCAUGGAAUAACGAAAUAGGACGUUUGAUUCUAUUUUGUUGGUUUCUAGGAUCGACGUAAUGAUUAAUAGGGAUAGUUGGGGGCAUUAGUAUUCAAUUGUCAGAGGUGAAAUUCUUGGAUUUAUUGAAGACUAACUACUGCGAAAGCAUUUGCCAAGGAUGUUUUCAUUAAUCAAGAACGAAAGUUAGGGGAUCGAAGACGAUCAGAUACCGUCGUAGUCUUAACCAUAAAUUAUGCCGACUAGGGAUCGGAUGAUGUUAAAUUAAUGACUCA
rnacentral:rRNA from 1 species